rnacentral:lncRNA from 1 species
CUAGCAACAAGCUAGCGGCACGCCAGACGCGCGUGCAUACGUCAUGCGCCAGACAAGCCGCAGGAGUGAGCUAGGCCGGUCGUACGUGCGAAGCUCGCGUGCGCGGCGACCCGUCUGUUUUGGAUAUAGCCUAUUUUUUUGCGCUCCCGGCCUUCACUAUGCUUCUCUUGCGUAUCGUCUGCAUUUCGGCACGGCACCACUGCACUACUGGACUACGGCAAGCUGAUGGCAUCCGGUGGAGCAUCGUACGGCAACGACUGCUGCUUACCUGGUACCACAACUUUGGAUGAAUGCAGAAGAAGCCCGGAACGAGCAUUUAUAUAGAGCAAAAUAAACAUUUCAUCAUUUCAGAA